AUUGGACGCUGGCGGCAUGCCUUACACAUGCAAGUCGAACGGCAGCACGGGUGCUUGCACCUGGUGGCGAGUGGCGAACGGGUGAGUAAUACAUCGGAACAUGUCCUGUAGUGGGGGAUAGCCCGGCGAAAGCCGGAUUAAUACCGCAUACGAUCUACGGAUGAAAGCGGGGGACCUUCGGGCCUCGCGCUAUAGGGUUGGCCGAUGGCUGAUUAGCUAGUUGGUGGGGUAAAGGCCUACCAAGGCGACGAUCAGUAGCUGGUCUGAGAGGACGACCAGCCACACUGGGACUGAGACACGGCCCAGACUCCUACGGGAGGCAGCAGUGGGGAAUUUUGGACAAUGGGCGAAAGCCUGAUCCAGCAAUGCCGCGUGUGUGAAGAAGGCCUUCGGGUUGUAAAGCACUUUUGUCCGGAAAGAAAUCCUUGGCUCUAAUACAGUCGGGGGAUGACGGUACCGGAAGAAUAAGCACCGGCUAACUACGUG
rnacentral:rRNA from 1 species